CGUACACUCCUGCGGGAGGCAGCAGUGGGGAAUUUUGGACAAUGGGCGCAAGCCUGAUCCAGCCAUGCCGCGUGCGGGAAGAAGGCCUUCGGGUUGUAAACCGCUUUUGUCAGGGAAGAAAAGGUUCUGGCUAAUACCUGGGACUCAUGACGGUACCUGAAGAAUAAGCACCGGCUAACUACGUGCCAGCAGCCGCGGUAAUACGUAGGGUGCAAGCGUUAAUCGGAAUUACUGGGCGUAAAGCGUGCGCAGGCGGUUAUGCAAGACAGAGGUGAAAUCCCCGGGCUCAACCUGGGAACUGCCUUUGUGACUGCAUGGCUAGAGUACGGUAGAGGGGGAUGGAAUUCCGCGUGUAGCAGUGAAAUGCGUAGAUAUGCGGAGGAACACCGAUGGCGAAGGCAAUCCCCUGGACCUGUACUGACGCUCAUGCACGAAAGCGUGGGGAGCAAACAGGAUUAGAUACCCCAGUAGUCCC
rnacentral:rRNA from 1 species